GGAAGCUUAAUUUUUUUUUUAUUCUACCAGAUCUCGACUCUAAUUACCUAUAUAUACAGCUUGGUAUAUAUAUAUAUAUAGAUAUGAGUGUCUUCCAUAUCCCAGACCCUUCUUUGAUGAUUAUGAUUAUCACAGGCCGCCAUCAUCUCUCUCAUCUCUCCACCUCAUGCAUGAAACCAUUCAAUUCAUUGAGUAUAUUUGCCUCUGCAAAAGGAAAAAACUCAUAAUCAACAAAUCAUAGACCCCCCUUUUUUCUCUUCCAAAUCUCUCUUCUCUCACCUCCCAAAACCAUGUCCUC
rnacentral:lncRNA from 1 species